rnacentral:tRNA from 1 species
GGGGAUUUAGCUCAGUGGCAUAAGCACCUGCCUUGCAAGCAGUUGGUCAUGAAUUUGAUCCCCG